CCGACGGAGGACAGUCCGCACUGCCUUACCUAGCAAUAAUUAAGUGUUUUGGGACCAUGUGGGGCAUUUAUAAAAGAUGCAGCGAGUAUUCUCACUGUCACAGCGCUUGAAUGGAAAUAGUGCUUAUUCUGUUACGAGACAAAGCUUAAGCGUGUCUGCGGGGUUCACUAUGAGGCGCCUUUGGGCUAUUAAGGGAUUUCUGGCGCUGUAACAGGUGACGAACACUGGAGAACAUGUAAACUGUAUUUCGUGGCUGGACCACUUGUCUGUCCCCGAAUGAAAUGCGAUACUUAAAGAUGCCGCAGUAACCGGGAGGUAGUCAGGCUGGAUGGCCGGUGUACAAAGCCCUAGUACACGCCAGAAUCCAGAAUACUGUGUGUGGACUGUCAGCCAACGCAGAGCAACAGAUGGAGGUGCACAACAGGAUAUUACCACUAAGAGGAUUCCUCUUUCUUUGCCUGUCUCUCUGGACUUUUUUCGCGGAGACAGACUCUUUCAUCGUGACCCAGCUCGACUGGCUUGCUGGAACUGGUGUAGAGUUGUUGGUUAAGCCCUCUGAAACCCGCCUCUGCCCACGUUGACCUGCUUGGCAACAGAAAUCCCCGAUCGAGUCUGCUGUGAAUAACAUUAAAAUGAGUAACCAGGUGGGAUUAGAAAG